GCCUGGGUGCCUCAGUCAGUUGAGCAUCUGGCUUUGGCCCAGGCCAUGAUCCCACAGUUCGUGGGUUCGAGCCCCACAUCAGGCU
rnacentral:tRNA from 1 species